rnacentral:rRNA from 1 species
CAGCCGCCGCGGUAAUACAGAGGGUGCGAGCGUUAAUCGGAUUUACUGGGCGUAAAGCGUGCGUAGGCGGCUUCUUAAGUCGGAUGUGAAAUCCCUGAGCUUAACUUAGGAAUUGCAUUCGAUACUGGGAAGCUAGAGUAUGGGAGAGGAUGGUAGAAUUCCAGGUGUAGCGGUGAAAUGCGUAGAGAUCUGGAGGAAUACCGAUGGCGAAGGCAGCCAUCUGGCCUAAUACUGACGCUGAGGUGCGAAAGCGUGGGGAGCAAACAGGAUUAGAUACCCCUGUAGUCCCUGUCUCUUAUAC